UUGGGACCAGAACUGCGUGGAGCCGAGCCCGGGGGAUUCCCUGGAUCCGGCCCUGCAGGAAUCCGUGGCUCAGCUGAAGCUGCUCAUGGCCAGGUUCCAGGGGGAGCUGCAGGCCUGGCAGGGGCUCCUGCAGCAGCCCCUGCAGCGCUCCCAGGAGGCCGCCAGGUGAGAAUUCCCCCCUGAGCCCCGAAUUGCCACUUGGAUCCCCAAAAUUCCCACUUGGAUCCCCAAAAUUCCCACUUGGAUCCCCAAAAUUCCCACUUGGAUCCCCAAAAUUCCCACUUGGA